UCAUUCUUAGUUAAGUCUGUGAUAUUAUGAUUAAUAAUGUGUAAAUCUGUGUUGUCUCUUAGAAUCAUAUUGUUAUGUAUACUGUUUAGUAUCAGCUAUGUUCUUUUGAUCACAUUUUAAUGCGAGGAGGGUUUGUUAUGUUCAGCUGUGAUGUGCAUUGAGAUUAGUGAUAGAAUUCGGACAGGGGUGCACAACCGAGAAUCCCGAUUCCCCGUCACAGGUCUUAACCGUGAGGGCUCAUCCUAAGGUGCCACCCACGCGGCAUCAUCUCCGGCGUGCCUCGCGAUCGCUGCACCUGUCACAUCGCCGUCUAUGGCCGCAAUGGCCCCCUCCGCUUCCGACCGACCUCACCGCGACGACGGGCAGCCUCUUCCUCCUUCGCUUCUUUUCGUUCAAACCCAGUCGCGCCAUCCCGGCGGAAAAAGCGCAUAUGGCCUCUCCGCCAGGCGGAUCUUCGUCGAUGACCAUGCCGCUUCUCCCCGCCUGGUCCUGGCGCGGCGUCGUCGUCGCCGUCGUCGGUUAUCAGGAUCCUUGCCUCGGGGACGAUGAUAGAGGGGAUCGUCUCGUGCUCCAAGUACGGAGGUGGCCCUGCUUUUGUCGGGCUGGUCUUCAGUACGCUCGAUCCAUUCAGCAGGGGGUUCAUGGUGAUCACCUUCUGAUUCGAUAUCCGCUUCAUCUUCAUCUCCAAGAGAAAAAAAGAUAGAUGAAUUGUCAAUUGAGAUUGUUCUCUGUGAGAGGCGUGUGUGCGCAUGCACGCAUUGUGAUGUCUCUCUCUUCUCUUGGUAAUGGGCGAUUGGCAUGCUCUAACACACAGGUUUCUGUAUGUUUAUUUCUUAGCUUGAGAAAAAAGGAGCGCAGGAAAGUCCAAAUAGAUUUGUCGGAUGCUAUUGUUCUCUAUCAGAGGCAUGUGACAACGUUGUUUUACUUCAAGUUCAACUAGGCACCUUUUUCUGAUUCAAGUGCUUCUACAGCAUUUCCUUCUCGUCGAUGCUUUAAUUCUAAUCGCAGUUUAAAUAGUUUCUUUCUGUUAAUAUCUGUGCUUAAACAAAUUUAACAUUUGAUGAUACUUUGUGUACUCAUGAUUCCAUGUAGGCCUAUCCACAGUUUUGGUUCGAACUGGUAUGACGGUUCACCAGUUACAAGCCAAAUCGGAACCAGCCCUAGGAGGUUCAGUUUUGGUUCAUAGGUUUAGAAAACAGGAACCAUCUGUUCCGAAACUGACGACUGUAGUUUUAAAUUAUUUUUUAUUAUUCAACAACAAUAAUCAGAACCGGCGAUUCUGGUGUCGGUUCGAACCAUCGAUUCUGUAAUUUUGAAUUAUUUUUUAUUAUUCAACAAUAAAUUUAUAAUUUUUCAUGUUGUAAAAUAUUUUAAUUAAAAAUAAUAAAAAAACUGGUGGUUCGAAUCGGAACCGCCUGGCGCUUGCUGGUUCGGUUCCGGUUCCUAGUUUUGGGGAACCGGAACCGUUGGUUCCGGAACCAAAGCGGCUGGUUCUGGAACCAGAACUGUGGUCAGGCCUGAUUCUAGGUUUAUGCUAUGCUUCUUUGAAAAAAGUUUGCUGGAGAGCAUCCUUGAUGCUUCAGUUGAUUAUCACAUUUUUUUAGCCAAAACUGACACAUGCAAUGGCAGCAGGAUGUUAAUUAUUGAUAAAUUGACAGCAAAUGUAAUCGAGAAAUACAGUGACCUCUUGUUUGAGCCUCCAGAGAUGCUACUACACCUGCACAAGUUUUCUUUUUAUGCAUUUUAGUUUAUUUCUGAUCUUUACUCAGAGAUAUAUUAAUAUAUUGUCCAGGUUUUUGCUCUUAUUUCUAUUCUUUUUAUACUAUCACAUCAACAUCAGUCUUGCUGCUCAUGAAGCACAGGAUCAACAAAUGAUGGAUGAAAUGGGACAAUAUGGAAUACCACUUAGUGUCUUGUCAACCAUUGCUGAGAUUCAGUUUCUUGAUGUUGUUGACAAAGUACUAGAAAACAGAGUGUUUGAGAAAAACCUCUGGUAUUCAGCUUAAAUUUCCUCAUCUGGUUGACUCAUUUGAAGAAAGGAGUGCCACUUCAUCGUUAAGGUCUCCUUCGUUGGCCACCACAGUUCCAAAUACUAAGGCUUUAAUAAAGAGCGACCCAGUUUGCAAUUUGAUACUUGGAACUUGGUUCAUAUGAUAACCUACAAGGAUGCCAUGCUCAGUCACGAAGUCAACCAAUUUUUAACCUCCAUUUCUAUAUCCCUGGUCUAGACAACAACAGAAACGGCGAUUCUUGACAACCAGACUAAAUCAAAUUCAAGAUCUGAAGGUGUUGCCCCGAAUGAACUUUCACUGAUCCCCUUCUUCCAAAGAUCACAAUGGUUGGCAUCGCGAUGGGUGAUGGGCAGAUGACCAAAGCAAACUUGAAGAAGACGAUGAAAUGCCUGACAAAGGGGUUAGAGCAAGCAAACGACCAAUGAAAACUCAUCCAAGAAAUGGAUCCUCUGUUCACAGCAAAUGUGGUUGGUUACUUUUGACAUCACAAGGCUGGGCUCUUUCUGACGUAGAAAACACUGAAAUAACUUACCAUGUUCCUGAUCCAUUCUUGACUCAUGCCGCACGAGUACACUCUUAUAAAGGGACUCGAUUGGGGAGACUCAUCUUUGUUGCCAAGCAAUAAAUCUUGUGGUAAGUGGGGGACAGCAGGGGUUGAUCACUGAUCCAAUUCCACUCUUAGGUAUCUGGACAUACUACCAGGUGGGGAGCCAAUGGUUAAGCAUGCAUACUGUGGAUAUCCACUAUAUCUCUUUCAAUUUCGGAAGGCGGAUUUACCUGCCAUAUAAGUUCACGGUGGCACCGGCACCAACCAUGGCCGUCAGGUUGCUGUGUGGUAGCUGCUAUGCAACAUACAGUCCCAAGAAGAUCAUGUUGGAGGCUCGAUGUCAAUACCGCUGAUUCGUGGAAUGAACACCGAAGUCGACCGCAGGCUAAUCAGGUAUUGUUAUCCAGCACAUUUCUAAGUCUAUGCCGUAUGCCAUCUCAGGAAUCACUGAUGCUAUAAACAGUUGCAAUGUGGCCUCUGGACCCUGUUCAUGGGGCACCACCAUUCAUCCAGAUCACGACCACUUCGGGUGCCAUCCUCGUAAUAAUUCGAGCUUUUCGGCGUGGAGCCGAGUGUUGUUACAACAGUUAUAUGCACUAGGGUGAUGCUCUUGCUUGUGAAGCAAUGAUGGGAAUAACUCUUUUCCCUUUAUAUA